AUGUCAGGAAUAAAGAAGAUCCAUAACCAGCUAGCAUAUAAUAUUGAAGCUUACAUAAAUGGCACAAAAUAUAUAAUAGAUGAAAUUACAAUAAGAGAUUUGUCAGUAAUAAAUGAUGACAUGAUAAUAGGGUUAAGAUUUUUACAACAAUCUUUACAAACCACAAUCAUACAUGAAGAGGGGGUAACAUUUAUUCCUUAUCAAGAUAAUGUUCCAUACAUAUCUGAAGUGCGAAAACAAAGAAAGUCCUUGCAAAAUGUAGAAAUAUCUAAUUUAGAUGAUGAAAAUAGCACAAGUCCAGAUCCCCUUGAAUUCUGUAAAGACGAAGAACUUAGUGAGACCAUAGAAGAAUAUCAUAUAGAAAAUACAUGUACUGAAUGCAUUGGGUUGCAAUCAUUCUCUCCAAAUUGGUAUAGAGAUAUAAAAUCCAAAAAGGAUAUAGAUAAGAUUGUGCAAAGACUAGAAAGUAUACAAAUUAUUGGAGAAAUACCAAUGAAACAUUGGGAUAAGAACUCUAUAGUUUGCAAAAUAAAUAUCAUAAAUCCAGAUUAUAUAAUUAAGUCAGGACCAAUAGAAGCAACUCCUAAAGAUAUCGAAGAGUUCAAAAUGCAUAUUGAAGAGUUAUUAAAGUUAAAAGCUAUAAGAGAAAGCAGAAGCCCUCAUCGAUCUGCUGCUUGUAUAGUUAGAAAUCAUGCUGAAGAAGUUAGAGGCCUAAAGAAUGCACCUGCACUAUUUCAAAGAAAGAUGCAAAAUAUAUUUAAUGAGAAUCAAGCAUUUAUAUUAGUAUACGUAGAUGAUUUGUUAGUAUUCUCAAAAUCAUACAAAGAGCAUAUAGCCCAUCUUGAAGUGUUCUUUCGAAAGGUAGAACAAAAUGGGCUCAUACUAUCUAAAAAGAAGAUGGAGAUUUGCAAAGAGAAAAUAAAUUUCCUUGGUCAUGAAAUAGGAGAAGGAAAAAUAUAUCUACAAGAACAUAUUGCAAAGAAAAUAUUAGAGUUUCCUGAUAAUAUGAGUGAUAAAAAGGUUUUACAACAGUUCUUAGGAACUGUAAACUAUGCGCGAAACUAUAUAGAUAACUUAGCAAAGCUAGCAGGACCUUUAUAUGCUAAAUUAAGAAAAAAUGGUCAAAGAUACUUCAAUUCUGAAGAUAUAAAAUUAGUAAAGGCCAUCAAGGAAAAGGUCAGGAAUUUAAAACCCCUAAAAUUGCCUCUAGAAGACAAUUAUUUUAUAAUUAAGACAGAUGCAUCUAAGGUAGGAUGGGGUGCGAUACUAAAACAAAAGCCCAAUAAAUACUCUCCAAAGGCAGACGAAAAAAUAUGCAGAUAUGCUUCAGGAAGUUACAAAUUAAAGACGGUAAAUAAUAUUGAUAGAGAAAUUCUUGCAGUUGUAAAUGCAAUAAAUGCAUUUAGGUUAUAUCUAGGAUUUAAAGAAUUUACAGUACGAACAGACUGUGAAGCCAUAUGCCGAUAUUACAAUAAAAUUAAUAGUAAGAAAAGCUCAACCAGAAGAUGGGUCUUAUUUGAAGACACCAUAGCUGGGAAUGGUUAUAAAGUUAUUUUUGAGCAUAUUAAGGGGAAGGAUAAUACCUUACCUGACAUAUUUUCUCGUGCAUCAAAUUUGCAGGAAUGA
rnacentral:rRNA from 1 species